GACGAACGCUGGCGGCGUGCUUAACACAUGCAAGUCGAACGAAGUGGCGAACGGUUGAGUACUACGUGAGUAACCUGCCCUCCUUUUUGGGAUAAGCCUUGGAAACGGUGUCUAAUACCGGCUAACGCGGGAUGGGCUCGCGGCCUAUCAGCUUGUUGGUGGGGUGAUGGCCUACCAAGGCGGUGACGGUUAGCCGGCCUGAGAGGGUGACCGGCCACAUGGGGACUGAGAUACGGCCCAGACUACUAAGGGGGGAAGAAGGGGGGGCUAUGGCAAAAAGGGCGAAAGACGGAUGCAGCGAGGGCGCGUGGGGGAUGAAGGCCUUCGGGUUGUAAACCUAGUGCGCUAUCGAAAGGGUAGGUGGAGAGGAAGCGCCGGCUAACUACGUGCCAGCAGCCGCGGUAAUAC
rnacentral:rRNA from 1 species